AGUGAACGCUGGCGGUAGGCCUAACACAUGCAAGUCGAACGGCAGCACAGUAAGGGCUUGCUCUUACGGGUGGCGAGUGGCGGACGGGUGAGGAGUACAUCGGAAUCUACUUUUUCGUGGGGGAUAACGUAGGGAAACUUACGCUAAUACCGCAUACGACCUACGGGUGAAAGCAGGGGAUCUUCGGACCUUGCGCGAUUGAAUGAGCCGAUGUCGGAUUAGCUAGUUGGCGGGGUAAAGGCCCACCAAGGCGACGAUCCGUAGCUGGUCUGAGAGGAUGAUCAGCACACUGGAACUGAGACACGGUCCAGACUCCUACGGGAGGCAGCAGUGGGGAAUAUUGGACAAUGGGCGCAAGCCUGAUCCAGCCAUACCGCGUGGGUGAAGAAGGCCUUCGGGUUGUAAAGCCCUUUUGUUGGGAAAGAAAAGCAGCAGGUUAAUACCCCGCUGUUCUGACGGUACCCAAAGAAUAAGCACCGGCUAACUUCGUG
rnacentral:rRNA from 1 species